GCUAAAAACCUAGCCCUCAUAAUUACAAAUGCCGUCCCCCACCUUGUUUGACCAAAUAAAUCAUUUAGAUAGUGUAGUAAAGGCGAUAAAAAAACUUAUUGGAGCGAUAAAAAUAGUACCGCAAGGGAAAGCUGAAAUAAAAAUGAAAAAAACAUUAAAGCACAAAAAAGUAGAGAUAUCACCUCGUACCUUUUGCAUCAUGGUUUAACUAGUCUUUAUCAAGCAAAACGAAUUUAAGUUUGACCCCCCGAAACUAAGCGAGCUACUUCAAGGCAGCUUUACGAGCCAACCCGUCUCUGUUGCAAAAGAGUGGGAAGACCUUCAAGUAGCGGUGACAGACCAAGCGAGCUUAGUGAUAGCUGGUUACUUAGUAAAAGAAUUUUAGUUCUACUUAAAGCUCUAUGAAGAAAAUUAACUUUAUCUCUUGCUUUAAAGUUAUUCAAAUAAGGUACAGCCUGUUUGAAUUAGGAUACAACCUAAACUAAUGGGUUAAUCAACAACAAAAUACUGAAGUAGGCCUAAAAGCAGCCACCUUUAAAACAGCGUCAAAGCUUAUUUAUUAUUUUUAACUAAUAACAAAAUUUUUCUUAAACCCUUUUUCACCACUGAGUAAUUCUAUAUUUGUAUAGAACAUAUAAUGUUAAAACUAGUAACAAGAAGUUAGCCCUUCUCUCAAAUGUAAGUGUAAGUCAGUCAGGAUAAACCACUGUCAAUUAACACAAAUGAUUCUAAAAUAAUAACUUUACAAGAAAACCUUAUUUUUCCCAAUGUUAAACUAACACAAGCACAUUUCAAGAAAGAUUAAAAGAAAAAGAAGGAACUCGGCAAACACUAACCCCGCCUGUUUACCAAAAACAUCGCCUCUUGAAACAUUAUAAGAGGUCCAGCCUGCCCAGUGACCUAGUUCAACGGCCGCGGUAUCCUAACCGUGCGAAGGUAGCGUAAUCACUUGUUCUUUAAAUGAGGACUAGUAUGAAUGGCACCACGAGGGUUAUACUGUCUCCUUUUCCUAAUCAGUGAAACUAAUCUCUCCGUGAAGAAGCGGGGAUUGAUAUAUAAGACGAGAAGACCCUAUGGAGCUUAAAACUAAUUUUCAUCUGCUUCAAAAUGAAUCUAAUUUCAGAAUUGCAAUAAAGAGUACAGCACUUUGAACAAUAGUUUUCGAUUGGGGUGAUCACGGAGUAAAAAAUAACCUCCAUGCCGAAAGGACUCUCCUGAGCUAAAAGCCACAACUUAAAGCACUAAAAAAUUGACGUAACUUGACCCAAUACUUUGAUCAACGAACCAAGUUACCCUAGGGAUAACAGCGCAAUCCACUUCAAGAGCUCCUAUCGACAAGUGGGUUUACGACCUCGAUGUUGGAUCAGGGUAUCCUAGUGGUGCAGCCGCUACUAAAGGUUCGUUUGUUCAACGAUUAAAACCCU
rnacentral:rRNA from 1 species